AUUUGAGUUUCAAUCUAUUGUUUAAAAUUAUCUAUGAAUUAUUGUACUGAAUCAUCAUUUUUUUAAUCUCCUUUCUUUGGUCCUUUAUAAUAAUAGUAUAUCCUUUGUAAAAGAAGUGUAAAGACAUCGACGGCAAAGAGGUAGCGUAAGCAAAGUUGGCGGAGGCAAAUAAGGAGCGUGGAAUAAAGAAAGAGUCGAGUCCACAUGGGCGGCCAUAGCGUUUGUGUCCCACCUUUGUCCCCUUGCCUCUUUCUUGCCUUUCAUGCUCCCGACAACAUCUCUCUCUCUUCCUUUAACCCUAACUUCUAUGCAUCUUCUCCCUCCUGUAUAUAUCUCUCUUUCUCUAAACCCAUCAUCAACCAAACUCACAAACAAGAACAAGAAGAACAAGGAUUCUGCUUUGGAUAUAUUACACAGAGACAUAUAGAGAGAGAGGUGUCUUGAUCUUGAAAAAAAAUGGCUUACGAGAAAGUCAAUGAGCUUAACCUUAAGGACACAGAGCUUCGUCUUGGAUUACCCGGAACGGAGCAAGAUAAGGAAGAACAAGAGGUUUCUUGCGUUAGAAGCAACAAGCGUCAACUACAGAGCGAUAACGAGGAAGAAUCUACACUUCCUACGAAGUAAGUGAAGAUUUGAGUUUCAAUCUAUUGUUUAAAAUUAUCUAUGAAUUAUUGUACUGAUGAUGAUUCUUUGCUAAUUUACAGAACUCAAAUCGUUGGUUGGCCUCCGGUGAGAUCUUACCGUAAAAACAACAACAGUGUGAGCUAUGUGAAAGUGAGUAUGGAUGGAGCUCCAUACCUUAGGAAAAUAGAUCUCAAGACAUACAAAAACUAUCCAGAGCUUCUCAAGGCAUUAGAGAACCUGUUCAAGUUCACGAUCGGUGAAUACAGCGAAAGAGAAGGAUACAAAGGAUCUGGAGUUGUACCAACGUACGAGGAUAAAGAUGGAGAUUGGAUGUUGGUUGGUGAUGUUCCAUGGGAUAUGUUCUCUUCCUCUUGUAAGAGACUCAGGAUCAUGAAAGGAUCUGAUGCUCUUGCUUUGGACUCGGCCUUAUGAUGAUGAUGAUGAUGAUGAUGAAAGCUUUUGAUGGAUGAAACCCUUUUUGAUUUGAUUCUGAUCGGAGUUUGAGUAGUUGACCACACCAAAAACAGAACAUGUCAGGGUUUUGUUCGAUGAGAUAGAUCCAUCUUCAAGGGGUUUUCUUUUUGUUUUGUUUGAUCCUUGUUUUUAGAUUUGCAGCUUGUUGUAAAGAUAGAUGAAAUUUUUGUACAAUACGGACAUAUACACAAUAUAGAUGCGUAUGUAGCAAUGUUUUGACGAAAAGAGUCUUUAAUUUCAUAGUGAUAUCUACAAUAAUUUACAAUAAAGAACCUCAUAGUAUUCUUUAGGAGAGGGCAAAAUAAGGGUUUGGAUUCGAUCAGGAAAUUUUGGAUAUUUGUAACUCCAACAAAAAAAAAUACUUACAUUUAAUUAUAGUUAAAAACUGAAAAAAUUAUAAUUACUAAAAUUUUAGAAGAUAUAUGUGUUUAUUAUAUUUAUAUGAAAGUUUGAUAUAUUUUCGCUAAAUUAUUUAUUUAUUUAUUUAUUAAAAAGUAAAAUUAAAUUACAUUUUAUUUCGUAAUGAACAUUAUUAUAAUAUGUCAAAUUUCGAAUUUUUUAAUAAAAAAUAUUUUUACAUUUAAAAAAGAUUAAUCAAGAAACAGGCCUGAUAAGAGUUUCCAAAGCCCAAUUGACUUGAGUCCAUUGAUUUUGGUUAUGUGCUAUGACGGGGCGAAUCUAGCCCAUUUAAAUUAUGGGUGCACUAUUGAUAGAAAAACAUAAAAAUACAUUAGACAAGGAUCGAACCUAAGAAACUGAGGGUGCACAUACUUCUUUUUACCAUAUAAGCUAACCAAAUUUUGAUGUUUCUACGUGUAAAAUACUAAAUUUUAAAAUAAUUGUGGGUGCACAUGUCCCCUCAUCCUUUAACUUGGCUUCGCCAGGUGUUUCCACCUUCGAUGAUCAGAUAAGUGGAGAAGGUGAAAUCUACAUAAAGCUUGAAUGAAUUGGUACAUUUGAUAUAGCAACGAAAUUAUACAUAGUAUUAAUUUAAUUUAUUUUACUUCGUAAGUCAAGCUAGGCAAGAUUGUUUUGCGUGAAAUUUCGACAGGAAGACACUUGUUUCCAGUUAAUUGGGAAAUAAUUAAUAACUAGAAUAAGACAUGCGCUAGUGCGCAUAAUGAUUUUGUUUGUAUAUAUUAUCGAUAAUUCUUUUUAUAUAUUUGUUUAUUUUGUUAAUGCAUAUACAAUAUUUUUUGCUAAUAUUAUAUAAUUUCUUUCUGAUAGAUCGGAUUAAUUUUUAUUAAAAGUUGUGGAACUAAAUUAUAAUUAAUAUAUCAUAGGUUGAUUGGAUUUAAACAAAUUGUGACACAAAAACCUUAUUUUUUUCACCGGACACAUUAUUGAAAAAAAUGAAUAGUAAUGUUUCCACAGUUGAAUUGUUUUGACAUUGAUCUUCCAUAUGGUUUUGACAUGUUUCAGAUCAACAAUCAAAUUAAUACAUGUCAUUUUAAUGAUUUUAGUCGUAUGGUUAAGUAAAACUUACAUUUUUGUAAUUUAAAUUUGUUUUAAAAAAAUUCAGAAUAUAACAUAUAAGAAAAAAUCUAACAUAUAAGAAAAAAUCUAACAUAUAAGAAAAAUAUAACAUAUAAGAUUUCCUCAUUUUUGUAAAUUAAAGUCGUUUUAAACAAAAAUUAAAUUAUAACAUAUAAGGUUUCCUCAUUUUUGUAAUUUAAAGUCAUUUUAAAAAUUUUAAAAUAUAACAUAUAAGUAAAAAAACUAGUUUUUUAAUUAUAUGGUUAAUGUGAUUAUUUUAAUUUUUUUAAUAAUAUAAAAUUUAAAAAAAAAUGAAGAAUGAUGCAAAAAUUGUUAUAAAUUUUUUAUUAUUCAUAGUCAUUAACUGUCAUAUAUAUGUUAAUACUAUUAGGUAAUUUCGUAGUUUUUAUUUAAAGAAAUAAUACAUGUUUCUUAUAUUUUGAGUUAAUAUAAUGUUUCUUAAUAACUGGAUUUGAACCAACAUUUUUUCAAUUAAUUCUUAAGCUGUCAUGUAAACUAAAUUGUCAUCCUAAUUAAGUGAUACCUAAACAGUGUCUCUUUUUAAUUAGUACAAACUUAAUGUUAUAAUUUUUUUAAUAGUCCUCAAUUAAUAUAUAGGGAUUCAUAUAAUCAUAUUUAACAUGUUUAAUGAGGGGUCGUACAUAUUUAUAAUAUAUUUUUUUUUUUAUUGCUAUCUUAGCUUAACUGGUCAUGCAUGUUUCGUAUGUUUUUGAUACUGCUAGUACAUUCAAGUCUAGUUUUGUAUAAUCUAAGUCUGUAAUCUAAUUUUCAACAGUGGUGAUAUAUAUAUUAAUGGGAAAAUUAGGGCACGAAUAAUUAAGAAUUGCAAUUCUAUACUAAGAAAAAUGAGUUGAAAACAUGUUUUGAAAGUUUAAUCCUGCGAGUUAAAACAUUUUGAGGCACCUUUUUCUUAAUAUUUGCAAAUCUAAUGUCUUAACUUUUUAUCAUAUUCAUUACUGCAUUUUGCCGCGUGCCAAUUAACAUAAGUGCACGCUACUACAAUCGAAUGGUAUAUCGAUGCAGUAUUGUAUGAUUGAAUCCAUAAAAAACUAGUGGUAUAUAACAAUAAGAAUACACAAACUUUUCUAAUCUAAGCAAAUAAGAAGAUGGAUGAUUUGUAACAAUCUAAGUAAUGACAGUAGUGAUCAUGGGCCUUUGGAGAAAGUGAAAGAGCAGUCUCAAGCCCACACGGUCACCACCAAAGUUCAGCCUAAUCCUCCUCUGUCGUCUAGUGUCAAACAGAAAGCAUUCAAGGUUCAAUCUUCUUGCUCCAGUACGACGAGGCCAGCUAAUGGCAUAACGGUUGGAAAUAGAUUUGAGUGUCUUGGUACACAGCCUGUCAUGUGCUGAGUCAGAGUAGAGGAUAAGAUCUUAUGUCUCUAUAUAAUGUAAAACGUGAACAUGUAAUCAGCAAGCAAGAAAGUAAUAAAAGUUAAAACGUUCUUCUUCACAAAACUCUAAGUUUUUUCAUGGUAUCAGAGCCAUGGAGGACUCUGACGCUAUUUCUACGCCAUCACUGAGUAUCUCUCAGUGUGUGACGUUAAAACUCACAUCUUCCAACUACUUGCUUUGGAAGACACAGUUCGAAUCCUUUCUUUACAGUCAAUCCUUGCUCGGUUUUCUCAAUGGAGGUUCUCUUCGCCCUGCUCCAACGGUAACGGUUCAAGAAGGAGAUGGAGUCACAGAGCAGCCUAAUCCUGAGUUUCAGAAGUGGAUGCGCAAAGACCAGCUUGUCAUGGCUUGGUUGUUCGGUUCUCUGUCUGAGGAUGCUCUCAGAUCUGUCUACGGUCUCACGUCAGCUCAGGAGGUCUGGUUCUGCCUUGGAAAGAAGUACAAUCGUGUCUCAGCUACAAGAAAACUAGAUCUCCAACGUAAGCUUCAAGGUAUGACUAAAAGCCAAAGAACCAUGACAGAGUAUCUAGGAGAGAUUAAGAGUAUCUGUGACCAGUUAGACUCUAUAGGGUGUAGCAUGACUGAGCAUGAGAUGAUAUAUGGUGCGUUGAGCGGUUUAGGGAAAGAGUAUGAAUCCAUAUGUACGGUUAUUGAGCAUUCUAUGGAUUCGGUUACUGAGAUGACGUUUGAAGAUGCUGUGUUCAAGCUCACUACCUUUGAUGAUAAGCUUCAGGUCUAUAACCAAAGUGCCACAGUUAAUCCUCAUCUUGCCUUUCAUGUUGGAAGGGGUUACUCUAACAACAGAGGCAGAGGAGGUUACACUAACAGAGGGGAUUAUAGAGGUGGUCGAAGCAACAACAACUACUCCACAAGGGGACGUGGCUUUCAACAGCAGUUCUCAAGUGGUAAUGGUCGUGACAAUGUUAGCUCAGGGUCCGGUUCCAACAACAGACCUACCUGCCAAAUCUGUGGGCGGUAUGGUCAUUCAGCUGCGAGAUGCUACAAUCGCUAUGAUCAAGAGUCUCAGUCUUCAGAUAACCUACCCAAUGCGCUCACCACAAUGAGACUUUCUGAUCAAGAACACAGUACCGGUCAAGAAUGGUAUCCAGAUUCUGCUGCGUCUGCCCACAUUACAAGCAACCAGUCUCAGUUAACGUCAGCAGAACCCUAUCUUGGGAAUGAUCAAGUGAUCGUUGGGAAUGGAGAUUACCUGCCAAUCACGCAUGUUGGAUCUGUCGCCUUACACACACAACAAGGUACUCUUCCUCUUGAUGAUGUGUUAGUCUGUCCUGGAAUAACAAAGUCUUUGAUAUCGGUUUCAAAACUCACUUCAGACUAUCCAUGUGAAGUUACAUUUGAUUCUGAAACUGUUUUUGUUAAGGACAAGCAAACAAAACAGGUGAUAACUCAAGGCAGAAGGGAUAAGGAUCUGUAUAUGUUGAAGGAUGCAAGAUAUCAAGCUUUUUAUUCUACAAGACAGAGAGCUACAAGUGUGGAGAUUUGGCAUCAAAGGCUAGGCCAUCCUCACAAGGACAUCCUUCAGCAGUUAGCCAGGAGUAACGCUAUCAGUUUGAAUAAAGGGGGGACAUUGGAGCUCUGUGAAGCGUGUCAGAUUGGCAAGAGUUGCAGGCUUCCUUUUCUUCUUUCAGAAACUUUUUCUAAUAGACCUUUAGAGAAGAUACAUUGUGACUUAUGGGGACCUAGUCCAGUUGUUUCUGCUCAAGGAUUUGGAUUACCCGGAAUAGAGCAAGAUAAGGAAGAACAAGAGGUUUCUUGCGUUAGAAGCAACAAGCGUCAACUACAAAGCGAUAACGAGGAAGAAUCUACACUUCCUACGAAGUAAGUAAAGAUUUGAGUUUCAAUCUAUUGUUUCAAAUUAUCUAUGAAUUGUUGUACUAAUGAUGAUUCUUUGCUAAUUUACAGAACUCAAAUCGUUGGUUGGCCUCCGGUGAGAUCUUACCGUAAAAACAACAACAGUGUGAGCUAUGUGAAAGUGAGUAUGGAUGGAGCUCCAUACCUUAGGAAAAUAGAUCUCAAGACAUACAAAAACUAUCCAGAGCUUCUCAAGGCAUUAGAGAACCUGUUCAAGUUCACGAUCGGUGAAUACAGCGAAAGAGAAGGAUACAAAGGAUCUGGAGUUGUACCAACGUACGAGGAUAAAGAUGGAGAUUGGAUGUUGGUUGGUGAUGUUCCAUGGGAUAUGUUCUCUUCCUCUUGUAAGAGACUCAGGAUCAUGAAAGGAUCUGAUGCUCUUGCUUUGGACUCGGCCUUAU
rnacentral:lncRNA from 1 species